GUAUUAACAGCAUGAGGCAAACAUCAUUAGCUAAUGCACGGAGAUAUAUCCUGACUGGGUCUUCAUUACAGAUACUGGGAUAAAAGAACAGACUGCUCAGGAAGCAAAACAACAUGUGUGACAGGGCAGACUAUAUCUAGUAACAGGGGAGAGCAGCCAAAAUAAUACUUGUGCAGGUUGGAUGUAUUCCACUGGAUUGUACAGAUCAAGG